UCUCUCCAUUUUCCUUUCUUUCUCGAUGAUUCUUGCGGAUUCGAUUGAUCCAAAGGUUCUUUGGGCGUAGUUCUUUAAAGAUCGGCACUAUUUGGAGAAGGAUUGGGGACACCACUUCUUGCCAUCCGGCGAGAAGGGCCAGGCUUCUGCUCAUCCCAAGGUCGUGUUGGAGGUUGGUUGUGGAGCUGGAAACACUGUUUUCCCCACUUCUAGUGGCAUUUCCAGAUGUCUUUGUUCAUGCUUGUGAUUUCUCACCUCUUGCAAUUGAACUUGUCAAGGUAAGUACUUUUGGUGAUACUAGCUAUAUAGACUCUUCAUCUUUUUAACACAGUUGAAUAAGCCUUUCAGUAGCUUAAAUUGGUAGUCUAGGUUUUUUUUUCCUUCGUUUUGUAUUUUUGAUGUUUUAUUCUUCUGUAACUAUCUUAUACUUGGAUGUGCCCAUCUGCUAGAUCUUUAUUUCAGUGAAAGGUUCCGGUAAGAGUGGAUAAUCUCUCUGUGGAUCGUUACUUUUUUUAUGUCUCCUGAAUGCAUGAGACAUUA